rnacentral:lncRNA from 1 species
AAGAGACCGAACAAGAAGGCUGGGAAGUUGAAGACCCAUCAGUUCACUGGCGCGCGUUCAUGUGAGAAGGGACCUGUGUUCCAAAAUGUUUUUCAAGACACAGGAACCAUCCGGUUGGAAUAUUACUGAAGUUUCACGUUCUAAAGGCCCUAAAGAUUGAUGCUUUACAACGUUUGACAUGUUUGAACGAACGUAAAUAGAUUUUUUUUUAAACUUUUCUUUUUGGCGUGCUUCCAACAUUUGGAGUAGCUGAACUGAACGUGCGAACAACAAGGAGCUAUUUGGACAUAAAUUAUGGAGUUUAUCGAACAAAACAAGAUUUAUUGUGGACCUGGGAUCCCUGGAAGUGCCUUCUGAUGAAGAUUAUUAAAGAUUCCGUCUCUCGGUACACAGUUGAGGUACACAGUUGAAGUGUACCUAUGAUAAAAAAUUACAGACCUCUACAUGCUUGAGACCCUGUUUGAGCGCAUAGCCAUGGACCUAAUGGUAC